GACAGAGGGGGCAAGCGUUGCUCGGAAUCACUGGGCGUAAAGGGCGCGUAGGCGGGAUGGCAAGUCAGUCGUGAAAUCUCUCGGCUCAACCGAGAAACGUCGGCUGAUACUGCCGUUCUUGAGGGAUGCAGAGGAGACUGGAAUUCCCGGUGUAGCGGUGAAAUGUGUAGAUAUCGAGAGGAACACCUGCGGCGAAGGCGGGUUGCUGGGCUGACACUGACGCUGAUGCGCGAAAGCUAGGGGAGCGAACGGG
rnacentral:rRNA from 1 species